AAGAGAACUUGCUAACCUGAAAGCUUAUUUAGAGCAACAAAAUGGUCAUAACUUUAUGAAUCAAUCAAGAAUCGCUUCAACAUCAUCUAAUCAUAUGUCAACCUCAAGUCCAGUCUUAGCCCUCUUAAAGUAAGUUUUUUAAUACAUUUGUUCGGUAAUGGCAGUUCUCUUUGCUUGAUAAUGAUCUGAUACUUAGAUAUGUUUUGAUAUUAUAAUAUGAAAGCAUUUUUAGUUUAGUUAUAAUACUUAGACAUGUUACUCUUGAGUAGUUGUGGACUUUCGUAGAAGUAUAGUUCAUAGUUUAAUUUUCUUACUAUAAUGUACUUACUACACAACAUGAACUGGAAUUUCGAUGUGACUGCUUUGCUUAUGGCUAGUUUUCUGAUGUUUCGGGUUUUGCAUUUUCAUGUAGGAAGGAGACUGGAUUUCUCUUUUUAGCUUAAAUGAGCCAACAAAAGUUGUAGCAGUUGGACGGCUUCAAUCCCUUGAUCCUUCUACAACAGUUGGGGGCCAACCACUAGGUUCGAAUUGGUGUGAAGUGCUAGUUCAAGUUGUGAUUGAACGUGAUGAGCAUUUGAUUAGGCCUUAUGUGCCUUUACAAACAAUUGCUGAUUCAAUUGGUGCUCCUAUAGCUUGGCCAACAAAACUAGUAUAUUUUUCCUUUUCUAGCUUUCAAAUUAUGUUAACUAUUAAUAUCUCAUAUGUUUGUCUCAUUCGAUAAUUAUGAUAGAUUUUAAUACAUAAUAUACUUAUGCUAUAGGUAAAAAUUUGCGAAGAUUGAUGUGCUGAAAUUCAAAAGUAGACAAGGUGUUGCAGCAUAUGGAUACUUAUCCAUUUAUAUGGAAGUGCUCUAACUGUAAAAGGACAAAGUGUUGCUGCAUAUAUUACAAGAAGUUGGUCGACCAGUGGUUUAGUUGAUUUUAAUUUAUCUGGUGCUAUUUAGGUGAAAUCGUGGCAAACAAUCAGUAGGACAUUCUAGCUGUUUCAUGAAUGUUGCCUCAAAUAUUAUGUUUUUUUUG
rnacentral:lncRNA from 1 species